AUGGUUUGUGACUGUUCAGCUUUUCAACAACGAUAUCUCUUCUUCUCACUUCAGAUCCGCCGCGCCAACCUCACCACUCCCUUUUCUCCGAUCAACAUCAUCAUAGCGCCACCAUGGAUUUCUUCACUCAGCCUCGUAUCAAUUCGUCCAUUCGAUUUCGUUCACAAUACUUCUGAUCCAACUCACUCAAAACGCUGCGGAAUCGAUCCUCGAAUUCGUGACUCAAACUCAGUUUCGAUUUAA